GACGAACGCUGGCGGCGUGCCUAAUACAUGCAAGUCGAGCGAGCUUGCCUAGAUGAUUUUAGUGCUUGCACUAAAUGAAACUAGAUACAAGCGAGCGGCGGACGGGUGAGUAACACGUGGGUAACCUGCCCAAGAGACUGGGAUAACACCUGGAAACAGAUGCUAAUACCGGAUAACAACACUAGACGCAUGUCUAGAGUUUGAAAGAUGGUUCUGCUAUCACUCUUGGAUGGACCUGCGGUGCAUUAGCUAGUUGGUAAGGUAAUGGCUUACCAAGGCGAUGAUGCAUAGCCGAGUUGAGAGACUGAUCGGCCACAUUGGGACUGAGACACGGCCCAAACUCCUACGGGAGGCAGCAGUAGGGAAUCUUCCACAAUGGACGAAAGUCUGAUGGAGCAACGCCGCGUGAGUGAAGAAGGGUUUCGGCUCGUAAAGCUCUGUUGGUAGUGAAGAAAGAUAGAGGUAGUAACUGGCCUUUAUUUGACGGUAAUUACUUAGAAAGUCACGGCUAACUACGUGCCAGCAGCCGCGGUAAUACGUAGGUGGCAAGCGUUGUCCGGAUUUAUUGGGCGUAAAGCGAGUGCAGGCGGUUCAAUAAGUCUGAUGUGAAAGCCUUCGGCUCAACCGGAGAAUUGCAUCAGAAACUGUUGAACUUGAGCGCAGAAGAGGAGAGUGGAACUCCAUGUGUAGCGGUGGAAUGCGUAGAUAUAUGGAAGAACACCAGUGGCGAAGGC
rnacentral:rRNA from 1 species